rnacentral:rRNA from 1 species
UGCCAGCCGCCGCGGUAAUACGGAGGGUGCGAGCGUUAAUCGGAAUUACUGGGCGUAAAGCGCAUGCAGGUGGUUCAUUAAGUCAGAUGUGAAAGCCCGGGGCUCAACCUCGGAACUGCAUUUGAAACUGGUGAACUAGAGUGCUGUAGAGGGGGGUAGAAUUUCAGGUGUAGCGGUGAAAUGCGUAGAGAUCUGAAGGAAUACCAGUGGCGAAGGCGGCCCCCUGGACAGACACUGACACUCAGAUGCGAAAGCGUGGGGAGCAAACAGGAUUAGAUA